AAAGAAAGAGAAAUACAAAAAAUCUCAUAUUUCACAUCCUAUGGGUCUCAUUCUUCCCUUGUUACUUACUCAGGAAGACUUGCUCCUCAAGUGGUCUCACUGGAUUGAAAGGUUGUGUCUUCACUGCUCUUAAAGAGCAGCUGUAGAAAUAGACUAGAGCACAUCAUGACCAUAUACCUCCAACCCUACCAGUAGCUUUGAGUUUUUCAGUUCUGGAUCUGUCCAUGAUAUUUCCACUGGACUAUUGCAUCUCUGAAUUUAGUACAUCCUUAAAUGACAUUACCAUCAUUUUCUACAUUCCCAACAGGAAACAGCACUACUCCCAAACUGAGCUUAUUUCUCCAUCCUUCUCACCAAGGACCACAAUCCUUCAGAGCACAGGAAGACCUGCCUCUAUUAGUAUCUAUUAAUGGUGGUAAGUCAAACCUUUGCACUGAAUAUAACAGAUGAAUCUUUCAAAAUUUCCCAUUGGCCAGGCUUAUUUUAUGUGCAUCCACAGCUUAAUGCUGCAUAUAACAUGUCCAUGGAAGAAGAAAAUCUUCUGGGAGCUAUUGAAUUCAAUAGCACUGCCUUUGGCUGUCAUGAUCCUAAAGGAUUGCCUGGAAGAUCACGCUGUUUGGGCAGAAUAACAAGUGUAGAAAGCCCGGUGUCUCAGAGCUGCCACCCAUUCCUACUACGGUAUUUAUUUAUUUUCUCCCCUUGCACCCUGCCUUCCUCCCCCUCCUCCCUCUGCUCUAUGUACGCAGCCAGGCCAGCACAGGGUGCAGCACCCGAUUUUGGGGCUUCAUCCCUUGGGGGACAUGCAGAGGGUGACACAGCAUCCAUCACCUCUUGGGUUGGGAUUGCACAGAAGGGAAAGAAAGCAAUAGUGAUACCGCUCUAUCUUUGCAUAUUUAUAUAAAAGACAUACACAGUACAUCUAUCAGAUACAAACACUUCAUAGAUAGCUCAGCUCUGCCACUGGAUCCUUCAACAUUUCAUCCUUACAUUCACUGUUGUCAGUGGCAAAACAGAAGUACGUGCAGCAGGCAGCCAAGCGUUUCAAUUAAAAAAAGUUUUAUUAUGAAACUAGUUUGUAUAAAACAGGGUUAUACAGGGCCUGGUGAGCUUGUCAUAGAGCAAUACGAAAAAGGCAGUGCCAGCAGGGCCAGUUGUUUCCUUAUUUGUAGUAUUAUCACUUGUUGUUGUUUUUUUUCCCCCAAAAGGCAGCAUACAAAAACAGAUGGCUGCCCUUCUGCGUUUGGACAAUAGCUGCAUAAACGUCGUUCCCUCGGAACACGGUUUAAUAACGUUAUUAAUACAUUAACAAAGUUUCUAUAAAGUAAGACACGUCGGUGCUAAAGUACAGCUGGAGGGAGUCCAAGGCCUCAACAAAAGCACAGACUGAGAUGGCAGCGGGAAAGUAACGCCGACCGCACGUCUACACACCGAGAGGUAAAAGCAUCGUGUAUUAAAAAACGUAUCAAGAUAUACACAUUUUAAACCAUUUGUACAAAACCUCUAUAAAUCUCUCUCUCUUAUGUACAAAAAUAGCUUAAUAUAUCCCCAAACUGGUCAGGGAGGAUACAAAUAGAUUUUCUUAUAAUAAAAAAAAUUCACCAAAAUAAUUAAAAAAAAAA
ensembl:lncRNA